GUGGGGAAUCUUGCGCAAUGGGCGAAAGCCUGACGCAGCAACGCCGCGUGGGGGAUGAAGGCUCUCGGGUUGUAAACCCCUUUCAGGAGGGACGAAAAUGACGGUACCUCCAGAAGAAGCCCCGGCCAACUACGUGCCAGCAGCCGCGGUAACACGUAGGGGGCGAGCGUUGUCCGGAUUUAUUGGGCGUAAAGAGCUCGUAGGCGGUUUGGCAAGUCGGGUGUGAAAUUUCGAGGCUCAACCUCGAAACGCCACUCGAUACUGCCAUGACUGGAGUCCGGUAGAGGAGUGCGGAAUUCCUGGUGUAGCGGUGAAAUGCGCAGAUAUCAGGAGGAACACCAACGGCGAAGGCAGCACUCUGGGCCGGUACUGACGCUGAGGAGCGAAAGCGUGGGGAGCAAACAGGAUUAGAAACCCCGGUAGUCC
rnacentral:rRNA from 1 species